CAGAAGAGCGAGCGAGGUUGUAUCGUGGCGAGCAACAGGUCGUUUACUGGGAAGAAGAUUUGGUGUUGAUAGAGGUAACUUCUUUAAGGCAAAACCUUAGACCUGAUGCAACAUCAUCCCAUGUUGCAAUCACCCUCAGGAGUGAGGAGGAUGUGAUUCGUCAUGCAGCAGCACAGAUAAACACCACAAAGAAAU